AUGAUUGUGCCUCUGCCCCGUGUAAGAAUGGAGGAACCUGCCUUGACGGAGUCAAAAACUACACCUGUCAGUGCGCUCCUGGCUGGGGAGGCCGGAACUGCAGCGAAGGAACUGGUCAUAUCGGAGCAAACAGUCUACGUCCCAAAAUGUCGCUGGAGGCAAUACACAUUCGGGCAAGGACGGAUGCGAUGUCACCACACAGUGAAAUAACAGUGAGCAAUGAAAAGUUCACCCAUUGGGAAGAGAUGGAGGAGCCGAAUUCACACUUUGCCCUUGAUAAUGGUGACCUGAAGGUCACGGAGGAGGGACAAUACCUCAUUUACAGCCAGGUGAUGCUUGUGUUUAAGACCUUAGACUGUAUCAAUGUCAAUAAUUAUAUGAACUUUUUGGCAUGUAUCUCACCAGACCAGUGUAUUUUAGGUCAUGUAUCAUAACUGAACAUCCUUUUUCAUUGCAAAUCUCUUUCUGAGAUGCGUUGCAAACAUACACUGCAAUUUUCCAUAGCCUGCACCUAUUGGCUUCAUACACAACUGCUUCGCUCACUGCAUAAGGGAAAAUUUGCACAAUUACUUGGUGCAGUUGGCCAAUGAUGCAUGGAAAUCUGUACUACCAGCUUGUGUUCAUUUUCGUUUACUGUCAUCACAACGUUGGUUUGAAAAACAUCUGCACAUCAAAAGUUAACAAAGAUGACGAUUUGUACCAAUAAUAGGUGACAAACCGUAAAAGUUUCCACGGUAAAAAAUAAUAACAAAUUGUUUCCUUCUGUGCAGAUUGGGGUUGCCAAUGACCAGUAUGACUCCACCUUUAAGUACUCCAUCUUGGUCCAUGAGACACCGUUCCUGACAUGCGAGUCGUCUGCGGGAGGUAGCCCCCCACGUUACACAUGUUACACGGCGGGCGUACGCUACUUACGCCAUGAUGACACGAUCUCGUUAAUGAUGGAGUGUGACAGGUGUAAGGUGUCCACGGCAGAGGAUGCGACAUUCUUUGGUGUCAUCAAACUUUCCGCAAAUCUAGACUUAAGAGUGUGACAGAUGUAAGGUGUCCACGACAGAGGAUGCGACCUUCUUUGGUGUCAUCAAACUUUCCGCAAAUCUAGACUUAAGAGUGUGACAGGUGUAAGGUGUGCACAGCAGAGGAUGCGACAUUCUUUGGUGUCAUCAAACUUUCCGCAAAUCUACACUUAAGAGUGUGACAGAUGUAAGGUGUCUACGGCAGAGGAUGCAACAUUCUUUGGUGUCAUCAAACUUUCCGCAAAUCUAGACUUAAGAGUGUGACAGAUGUGAGGUAUCCACGGCAGAGGAUGCGACUUUCUUUGGUGUCAUCAAACUUUCCACAAAUCUAGACUUAAGAGUGUGACAGAUGUGAGGUGUCUACGGCAGAGGAUGCAACAUUCUUUGGUGUCAUCAAACUUUCCGCAAAUCUAGACUUAAGAGUGUGACAGAUGUGAGGUAUCCACGGCAGAGGAUGCGACUUUCUUUGGUGUCAUCAAACUUUCUGCCAAUGUAGACUUAAGAGUGUGACAGAUGUA